UACGAAGGUGGGCAAGCGUUGUUCGGAUUUACUGGGCGUACAGGGAGCGUAGGCGGUUGGAUAAGCCCUCCGUGAAAUCUCCAGGCUUAACCUGGAAAGUGCAGAGGGGACUGUUCAGCUAGAGGAUGGGAGAGGAGCGCGGAAUUCCCGGUGUAGCGGUGAAAUGCGUAGAGAUCGGGAGGAAGGCCGGUGGCGAAGGCGGCGCUCUGGAACAUUUCUGACGCUGAGGCUCGAAAGCGUGGGAGCAACAGGGAUU
rnacentral:rRNA from 1 species